rnacentral:misc_RNA from 1 species
UGUAUGGAAGAAGGGACUCCAAGGUGCAGAAUCAAUUUCUUUUUUUGCAUUUAAACUUCUUAUUUUAUGAUUGUAAAAGAAUGGUCUUGUAGACUUAUCUAAUCCACCUUGGACUUGGAGAAGAAUUUCUCAUUCUGAAGUUGUCAUACUUCUUAGCCUCAAUAAACAGUCACAUUGUAUUGGAGUCGGUUAUAUGGAUAAUUUUUCUCCAUUGUGGUGGGUUUAGGAUACAUUUGAAAGUGAAAAACAAAAUUAAACAUUAAUAAAUGUUUUCCCUUUUCAGCUUGCAUUCUUCUUUUCAAUUUCAUGUCAGGGUAUGUACUACUUAAACCUG